rnacentral:tRNA from 2 species
GCCUGGAUAGCUCAGCUGGUAGAGCAUCAGACUUUUAAUCUGAGGGUCCAGGGUUCAAGCCCCUGUUCAGGCG